GUAAUACUCCCUCCGUUCCGAAUUACUUGUCUUGGAUUUAUCUAGAUACGGAGUAUCUAGACUCUCCGUUCCAAAUUACUUGUCUUGGAUUUAUCUAAAUCUAGAUAAAUCCAAGACAAGUAAUUCGGAACGGAGGGAGUAGAAG
rfam:Triticum urartu cultivar G1812 contig926410, whole genome shotgun sequence.